AUAGAAAAUUACUGAAAAGUCUCUCAUGAGAUGUAACUAGUUCGCAGAUAAAAUCCUGUCAUCUUUUAAACCUUCAUUUGUGCCGAGAUUUUCUGUCUAUAAACUGGAAAGGCCCGGGGAAUCGGCAUGACAUAAGCGCCUUCCUCUCGAGGCGGAGGUCGGAAGACAGAAGGAGAGGAGGAAGGAGGAAGAGAGAGAGACGGGGCUCGAUAAGCGCCGCUAUCAGAACGCACCCAAACACAGCGUCCGGCUGUUCUCCCUUGUGCAGGCGGAGGAAAACAGAUACCCUUAGCAGACACAAAGCGAGCUUCACUGCUGCGUUUGGAGAACCUCAGCAAAAUCCUGUGAGGACCAGACGGUGCAGUUUUCUCUUUUUUGGAGGGCUGCAGCAAUGUGAGGAAGAGGCUUUGGACAUCUGGCAGAGGCUAUAUCACUUGUUAUUUCCUCCCUCUGUUGUUCUGAAGGAGAGGUCAGUCGGCAGCAGACUGGAGAUGGAGGCCAGGUUAGAGGUCACAACUGAGCCCUGUUGAUUGGUAGGGUCGACCAAGGGUCAAAAGAGGAGAGGAAAGCAACAGGAAAGCUCUUUGUGCUUCGCUCUAAAGGAUUGGGAACGCUUUCCUCAGGUCCUAUCUGUCUUCCUAGCCUUGUGCCGGACAUAAGAUAUUGGCCGCCACGUGCUUUCCCACAAACAGAAGCAUGAACAUCAGGUACAAUAGGGUCCUAAAGGGACAGCCACCCUAAAAAUUAAAAUUCUGUCAAAUUUUACUCAACCUCAUGUUGUCUAUAAGACAUAAAAAAUAUAUAUAUUUAUAAAUAAUUUCAGGGUUUUAUUUGUUGCACGACUUUUUCCCCGAUUUAUAGUCUGGAUGCGUUGACACUGAUUGCAGAAAGUCAAUGGGCACAGAAUCACAUUUUCAGCUUCAGACUUCUCUAUCCAUUCUGGGGAUAUCAAACAUGUUUGCUAUUUUGAGACGAUUUUUGUUUUCAUUUGUCAUGCGUCUCCUAGCAUUAAAGCGAGUGUUCUGCAUAAGUUUGUUUUUGUUCAGAAAAACUUGAAAGUCUGGUGUCCGUAGUUUUUCCUCAGUAACCCUUUACAAAGUUGACAAGUUUAUGAUGCCUAGUUUUUUUUUAAUCAUUUCAGAUGUAGUUUAUUCCAGUCAUACAGUUUUGGAACAACAUGACGGUAAGUAAAUUAAAAAAUAUUAAUUUUGAAAAAACAACCUGGAUCUUGUGCACAUAUAUGGUUUACAUUCCCUCACCUUACCUGAUAAAACUGACCCAGCAGGUCUAAAACAAUGCUCAGAGAGCUACGUAAGCAUU